ACCUGGCUAGCUCAGUUGGUAAAUUUUGAGACUCUUAAUCUCAGGGCUGUGGGUUUGAGCCCCCCAUUGGGCA
rnacentral:tRNA from 1 species